rnacentral:rRNA from 1 species
UGCGUAGGCGGCUUUGUGUGUCAGGGGUGAAAUCCGACGGCUCAACCGUCGAAUUGCCCCUGAAACUGCGAGUCUUGAGUCCGUGAGAGGAAGACGGAAUUCCUGGUGUAACGGUGAAAUGUGCAGAUAUCAGGAAGAACACCGAUGGCGAAGGCAGUCUUCUGGCACGGUACUGACGCUGAGGCACGAAAGCUAGGGUAUCGAACG